rnacentral:rRNA from 1 species
UGAUCAUGGCUCAGAUUGACCGCGGGGUAANGCCUAACACGUGCAAGUCGAGCGGCAGCACGAGUAAGUUUACUUAUGAGUGUGGCGAGCGGCGGACGGGUGAGUAAUGCCUAGGGAUCUGCCCAGUCGAGGGGGAUAACAGUUGGAAACGACUGCUAAUACCGCAUACGCCCUGCGGGGUGAAAGAGGGGGACCUUCGGGCCUCUCGCGAUUGGAUGAACCUAGGUGGGAUUAGCUAGUUGGUGAGGUAAUGGCUCACCAAGGCGACGAUCCCUAGCUGUUCUGAGAGGAUGAUCAGCACACUUGGGACUGAGACACGGCCCAGACUCCUACGUGGAGGCAGCAGUGGGGAGUAUUGCACAAUUGGGGGAAACCCUGAUGCAGCCAUGCCGCGUGUGUGAAGAAGGCCUUCGGGGUUGUAAAGCACUUUCAGGUAGGGACGGGAAACGGGUGAGUCUUAAUACGGCUCAUCCUUGUGACGUUAACUACAGAA